rnacentral:rRNA from 1 species
AAAGGAAUUGACGGGGGCCCGCACAAGCGGAGGAACAUGUGGUUUAAUUCGAUGAUACGCGAGGAACCUUACCCGGGCUCGAACGGCAAAUGAACGACUCAGAGAUGAGAAGGUCCUUCGGGACAUUUGUCGAGGUGCUGCAUGGUUGUCGUCAGCUCGUGCCGUGAGGUGUCGGCUUAAGUGCCAUAACGAGCGCAACCCUUGUCGUCAGUUACCAGCGCGUAAAGGCGGGGACUCUGGCGAGACUGCCACCGUAAGGUGAGAGGAGGGGGGGGAUGACGUCAAAUCAGCACGGCCCUUACGUCCGGGGCGACACACGUGUUACAAUGGUCGGUACAGAGGGUAGCUACCUAGUGAUAGGAUGCCAAUCUCAAAAACCGAUCUCAGUUCGGAUCGGAGUCUGCAACUCGACUCCGUGAAGUUGGAUUCGCUAGUAAUCGCGCAUCAGCCAUGGCGCGGUGAAUACGUUCCCGGGCCUUGUACACACCGCCCGU